rnacentral:lncRNA from 1 species
GAAGAACAAGUCCGUUCCUUCAAAGAUUCCAUCAAAGUCACCGUGGAAGGUGAAGAAAAUAAAUGAGGAUUUGAAUGGGAUGCUCAGGACCUUGGCUUGGUGAAGCAGAUCACUUUUGAUGGGUCCAUCAUGCCUAUGCCUAUUUGCAUACUAGUAAACACAAACUCCUUCCAAUUUUAAGAAUGUAAUUUACAUAUUCU